rnacentral:rRNA from 1 species
UAAUCAAGAACGAAAGUUAGAGGUUCGAAGGCGAUCAGAUACCGCCCUAGUUCUAACCAUAAACGAUGCCAGCCAGCGAUCCGGCUGUGUUCCUCAAAUGACACGCCGGGCAGCUUCCGGGAAACCAAAGCUUUUGGGUUCCGGGGGAAGUAUGGUUGCAAAGCUGAAACUUAAAGGAAUUGACGGAAGGGCACCACCAGGAAUGGAGCCUGCGGCUUAAUUUGACUCAACACGGGAAAACUUACCCGGCCCGGACACAGGAAGGAUUGACAGAUUAAGAGCUCUUUCUUGAUUCUGUGGGUGGUGGUGCAUGGCCGUUCUUAGUUGGUGGAGCGAUUUGUCUGGUUAAUUCCGAUAACGAACGAGACUCUAGCCUACUAAAUAGACGUUCCGAUCAUCUCCGUCGGACGUUCUUCUUAGAGGGACAAGCGGCGUUUAGCCGCACGAGACAGAGCAAUAACAGGUCUGUGAUGCCCUUAGAUGUCCGGGGCCGCACGCGCGCUACAUUGAAGGAAUCAGCGUGUGCUUUCCCUGUCCGACAGGACUGGGUAACCCGUUGAACCUCCUUCGUGCUGGGGAUAGGGGCUUGUAAUUGUUCCCCUUGAACGAGGAAUUCCCAGUAAGCACGAGUCAUAAGCUCGUGUUGAUUACGUCCCUGCCCUUUGUACACACCGCCCGUCGCUACUACCGAUUGAAUGAUUUAGUGAGGUCUUCGGACUGGCGCUCGGAGCGGCCCUCGGGUCGCGCCGGCGUGCCGGAAAGAUGACCAAACUUGAUCAUUUAGAGGAAGUAAAAGUCGUAACAAG